rnacentral:rRNA from 1 species
CCUACGGGAGGCAGCAGUGGGGAAUAUUGGACAAUGGGCGCAAGCCUGAUCCAGCCAUACCGCGUGGGUGAAGAAGGCCUUCGGGUUGUAAAGCCCUUUUGUUGGGAAAGAAAUCCAGCCGGCUAAUACCUGGUUGGGAUGACGGUACCCAAAGAAUAAGCACCGGCUAACUUCGUGCCAGCAGCCGCGGUAAUACGAAGGGUGCAAGCGUUACUCGGAAUUACUGGGCGUAAAGCGUGCGUAGGUGGUUAUUUAAGUCCGUUGUGAAAGCCCUGGGCUCAACCUGGGAACUGCAGUGGAUACUGGAUGACUAGAAUGUGGUAGAGGGUAGCGGAAUUCCUGGUGUAGCAGUGAAAUGCGUAGAGAUCAGGAGGAACAUCCAUGGCGAAGGCAGCUACCUGGACCAACAUUGACACUGAGGCACGAAAGCGUGGGGAGCAAACAGGAUUAGAUACCCUGGUAGUCCCACGACCUAACCGAUAGCGACGUAGAGUGUUGGUGCAUUAGUCGACGCAGUAUACGAGACGUACGUACGUUAACGUUACGUCCGCCGUCGGGAGGGUACGGGUCGGUCGACGACGUUAGUAAACGUUACGAAAGGAAGUUAGUUACGGCGUGAGGACGAGCCGACGGACGACGACGAGGGAGGAGG